UUAAGCGACUAAGCGUACACGGUGGAUGCCCUGGCAGUCAGAGGCGAUGAAGGACGUGCUAAUCUGCGAUAAGCGUCGGUGAGGUGAUAUGAACCGUUAUAACCGGCGAUUUCCGAAUGGGGAAACCCAGUGUGUUUCGACACACUAUCAUUAACUGAAUCCAUAGGUUAAUGAGGCGAACCGGGGGAACUGAAACAUCUAAGUACCCCGAGGAAAAGAAAUCAACCGAGAUUCCCCCAGUAGCGGCGAGCGAACGGGGAGGAGCCCAGAGCCUGAAUCAGUGUGUGUGUUAGUGGAAGCGUCUGGAAAGGCGCGCGAUACAGGGUGACAGCCCCGUACACAAAAAUGCACAUAUUGUGAGCUCGAUGAGUAGGGCGGGACACGUGGUAUCCUGUCUGAAUAUGGGGGGACCAUCCUCCAAGGCUAAAUACUCCUGACUGACCGAUAGUGAACCAGUACCGUGAGGGAAAGGCGAAAAGAACCCCGGCGAGGGGAGUGAAAAAGAACCUGAAACCGUGUACGUACAAGCAGUGGGAGCCUCUUAAUGGGGUGACUGCGUACCUUUUGUAUAAUGGGUCAGCGACUUAUAUUCUGUAGCAAGGUUAACCGAAUAGGGGAGCCGAAGGGAAACCGAGUCUUAACUGGGCGUUAAGUUGCAGGGUAUAGACCCGAAACCCGGUGAUCUAGCCAUGGGCAGGUUGAAGGUUGGGUAACACUAACUGGAGGACCGAACCGACUAAUGUUGAAAAAUUAGCGGAUGACUUGUGGCUGGGGGUGAAAGGCCAAUCAAACCGGGAGAUAGCUGGUUCUCCCCGAAAGCUAUUUAGGUAGCGCCUCGUGAAUUCAUCUCCGGGGGUAGAGCACUGUUUCGGCAAGGGGGUCAUCCCGACUUACCAACCCGAUGCAAACUGCGAAUACCGGAGAAUGUUAUCACGGGAGACACACGGCGGGUGCUAACGUCCGUCGUGAAGAGGGAAACAACCCAGACCGCCAGCUAAGGUCCCAAAGUCAUGGUUAAGUGGGAAACGAUGUGGGAAGGCCCAGACAGCCAGGAUGUUGGCUUAGAAGCAGCCAUCAUUUAAAGAAAGCGUAAUAGCUCACUGGUCGAGUCGGCCUGCGCGGAAGAUGUAACGGGGCUAAACCAUGCACCGAAGCUGCGGCAGCGACACUAUGUGUUGUUGGGUAGGGGAGCGUUCUGUAAGCCUGUGAAGGUGGCCUGUGAGGGUUGCUGGAGGUAUCAGAAGUGCGAAUGCUGACAUAAGUAACGAUAAAGCGGGUGAAAAGCCCGCUCGCCGGAAGACCAAGGGUUCCUGUCCAACGUUAAUCGGGGCAGGGUGAGUCGACCCCUAAGGCGAGGCCGAAAGGCGUAGUCGAUGGGAAACAGGUUAAUAUUCCUGUACUUGGUGUUACUGCGAAGGGGGGACGGAGAAGGCUAUGUUGGCCGGGCGACGGUUGUCCCGGUUUAAGCGUGUAGGCUGGUUUUCCAGGCAAAUCCGGGAAACCAAGGCUGAGGCGUGAUGACGAGGCACUACGGUGCUGAAGCGACAAAUGCCCUGCUUCCAGGAAAAGCCUCUAAGCAUCAGGUAACAUCAAAUCGUACCCCAAACCGACACAGGUGGUCAGGUAGAGAAUACCAAGGCGCUUGAGAGAACUCGGGUGAAGGAACUAGGCAAAAUGGUGCCGUAACUUCGGGAGAAGGCACGCUGAUAUGUAGGUGAAGCGACUUGCUCGUGGAGCUGAAAUCAGUCGAAGAUACCAGCUGGCUGCAACUGUUUAUAAAAACCAGCACUGUGCAAGCACGAAAGUGGACGUAUACGGUGUGACGCCUGCCCGGUGCCGGAAGGUUAAUUGAUGGGGUUAGCGGCAACGCGAAGCUCUUGAUCGAAGCCCCGGUAAAGGCGGCCGUAAUAUAACGGUCCUAAGGUAGCGAAAAUUCCUUAGUCGGGUAAGUUCCGACCUGCACGAAUGGCGUAAUGAUGGCCAGGCUGUCUCACCCGAGACUCAGUGAAAUUGAACUCGCUGUGAAGAUGCAGUGUACCCGCGGCAAGACGGAAAGACCCCGUGAACCUUUACUAUAGCUUGACACUGAACAUUGAGCCUUGAUGUGUAGGAUAGGUGGGAGGCUUUGAAGUGUGGACGCCAGUCUGCAUGGAGCCGGCCUUGAAAUACCACCCUUUAAUGUUUGAUGUUCUAACGUGGGCCCCUUACCGGGGUUGCGGACAGUGUCUGGUGGGUAGUUUGACUGGGGCGGUCUCCUCCUAAAGAGUAACGGAGGAGCACGAAGGUUGGCUAAUCCUGGUCGGACAUCAGGAGGUUAGUGCAAUGGCAUAAGCCAGCUUGACUGCGAGCGUGACGGCGCGAGCAGGUGCGAAAGCAGGUCAUAGUGAUCCGGUGGUUCUGAAUGGAAGGGCCAUCGCUCAACGGAUAAAAGGUACUCCGGGGAUAACAGGCUGAUACCGCCCAAGAGUUCAUAUCGACGGCGGUGUUUGGCACCUCGAUGUCGGCUCAUCACAUCCUGGGGCUGAAGUAGGUCCCAAGGGUAUGGCUGUUCGCCAUUUAAAGUGGUACGCGAGCUGGGUUUAGAACGUCGUGAGACAGUUCGGUCCCUAUCUGCCGUGGGCGCUGGAGAACUGAGGGGGGCUGCUCCUAGUACGAGAGGACCGGAGUGGACGCAUCACUGGUGUUCGGGUUGUCAUGCCAAUGGCACUGCCCGGUAGCUAAAUGCGGAAGAGAUAAGUGCUGAAAGCAUCUAAGCACGAAACUUAGCCCCGAGAUGAGUUCUCCCUGACCCUUUAAGGGUCCUGAAGGAACGUUGAAGACGACGACGUUGAUAGGCCGGGUGUGUAAGCGCAGCGAUGCGUUGAGCUAACCGGUACUAAUGAACCGUGAGGCUUAACCUU
rnacentral:rRNA from 1 species